rnacentral:rRNA from 1 species
AUUGAACGCUGGCGGCAGGCCUAACACAUGCAAGUCGAGCGGACGAAGGGAGCUUGCUCCUGGAUUCAGCGGCGGACGGGUGAGUAAUGCCUAGGAAUCUGCCUGGUAGUGGGGGAUAACGUCCGUAAACGGGCGCUAAUACCGCAUACGUCCUGAGGGAGAAAGGGGGGGAUCUUCGGACCUCACGCUAUCAGAUGAGCCUAGGUCGGAUUAGCUAGUUGGUGGGGUAAAGGCCUACCAAGGCGACGAUCCGUAACUGGUCUGAGAGGAUGAUCAGUCACACUGGAACUGAGACACGGUCCAGACUCCUACGGGAGGCAGCAGUGGGGAAUAUUGGACAAUGGGCGAAAGCCUGAUCCAGCCAUGCCGCGUGUGUGAAGAAGGUCUUCGGAUUGUAAAGCACUUUAAGUUGGGAGGAAGGGAAGUAAGUUAAUACCUUGCUGUUUUGACGUUACCAACAGAAUAAGCACCGGCUAACUUCGUG